rnacentral:lncRNA from 1 species
UCCCAGCUACUCAGGAGGAGGCUGAGGCAGGAGAAUUGCCUGAACCCAGGAGACGGAGGUUGCGGUGAGCUGAGAUCGCGCCAUUGCACCCCAGCCUGGGCAACAGGAGUGAAACUCCGUCUCAAAAAAGAAAAAAAAAAAAAAAAGGCCUUAGACCAUAGGCUCAUCUCCAGUGAGGUCCUGCCUGACCAGCGUAUUCUUCUGCAAGCUAAAAAACCAGGGCUUUUUUCUACUGCUAAAAUGCCUUCAAGAGCUGAUACAGGAGAGGCAGCAAGACUGAAGGGCCUAGGGGUGUCAAAGGUGGGGGCAGGCUUUCCUCCAGCUCCCCUCCCCAUCCCCCCACCAUCCCCUGUGAGGCAGAGCCAGGGGUGCCAGAGACCAGACCCCCAGAGUGAGAGGGCGAGGUGUGCCCCUCAGCCUUGGAGACAUCAGUCUCCUUUCCCUGUUGCCAGGCAAAGGUAAAAACAUUGAUUAAAUCCAGCACCUAAAUCCCUACACAGCCCUGCCCUGUCUGUGUAGGCUGCACGCACUCAGCCACCUGCCUGGAAGGACGAGAGCCAUGGCCAAGAAUGAGCAAGAGCAGCGGGAAAAGGGCUGGCAGGAGGGCUGGUGUCCCCCUGACCACAGACUCCCUCUGCUGGGCCUGCCUGGGGUCUCCCAUCAGUUUUUUUUCAGCUAAGGCAGAGAGAGCCCCGGGAAAUGAGAAGGCGGGGACCAAGGACUCUCACGCACAGCUGUGGCUGCCCUGAAGCUCUCACUGGGAGUUAAGCUAUAAGGUUGAUUCAUCACAUAUUCAUUGUGCAUUUCUCAUAUACCAGCUGCUGGGUCCCCUCAGAAAGACCUGAACCCCAACAGCCUUGCAGCCUCUUAGUCUACCUGGCUGCAGGACCCAGGCACCAACUGCCGAGAAUCUUUAGGACUGAACAUUCUAAUGGCAGUUGAGAGCAACGGUCAAGCAGUGAAGCCCCAGGCAGAAGAGCACACAGACCGGGGAGGGUGCAGAGGCAGCCUCGGCCCUAUCAGGACCCGUGGGGGAUAGCUGAGCGGGGAAGAUAAGCAGAGAUUCUGGGCGGGAGGCCUACCAGGAAGAAGGGGACCAAGUCAUCAAGGAGAAAUCGAGGCCGCCCACUAAUGGCUCUAGAGGCCAAUCCUGCCAGCCUGGGUGUCAGUUUGGAAGCCUGCCCUGUGUUGAAAACUCACAGCCUUUGAGCUAACCACCUCUUACCGCAAGGGCAGGAGUUCUGGUGGCCUCUGGUGCUGAAUGGUGGGCACUGUGAAUCAAGGUCAAAUUCAUGAUGAACUUGCGCCUUCUGUAAAGAAACAAAUCAGCAACUGCCAAGUUCAAAGGAGCUGACCACUGACGAGACCAAGGCGUAGGUGUGUAAAAGAGAGGUCUGUCUGUGCCCAGGUUUGCUUCCGCGUGGCCAUCCAGUGGUGGACGUGGUGAUGGUGCACUGGGCCCCAGAAAGCCUGCCACACAUUCCCCAUUCAGGAUCUCAGUGAUGCUUUGAAAAGCCCCUAAGCUAAAAGAAAUAUCCAGUAGUUCUGUUAAUACAUAGUUAGGGCCAAACAACUCAACACAUGGGAUCUGAAGAUGUCACUGCCGCCACUUUGAACACUUUUAGUUCUGUGUUUAGGGAAUUCAAACACUUAGGCAGUCCUGUGAGUUCCCAGCAGUGUCCUGGGCACAUGAGUGCCAAAUCUGAGAACCACAAACUGUGGGUUAGGAACCCUUGUUGAGUAGGUCAGCCCUUACUUCCUACCGCCGAAGUGAGAGAUGGCAGACAUGUUUGUCUCCAAUUUUCAUAGAGUACAAUUUGUUUAAAAGAACCAAUGGGUAACUGAGUUGUUUUUUUUCUCCAGCUAUGUACUAACCAGCCUUCUCAGAAGUUGUUCGUGAAGAAUAAUGUGACUCAAGUCCACAUGUGAAAAUUGAAUGAUGGAAAGGAGCUUCCAAGGGAUUCUGUUUCUUCCCCAUUAACACAGAAGUUGAAGCUGCAAUAUGCAGCCCAUCUGGUGGCAAUGAAUAGCAGUGAAGACCCAUUUAGAUAGUUUCACUCAAUCUCACCCUAGCCAUCCCUGUGCUGUAUUCCGUGUCUCUGUUUCCAUAUUUCCCCUGACAAGAUUAGAGCCUCGUAGAGGCCAAAGUUUCUAGUCUCAAGUCUUCCUAGAGCCCGUCACCCAGGCACAGUGCCAGCCAAUAAACGAGUGUUCAGCAGGUGCAUGCAGAAACAGUCGUUGGCGAUACCCUCCUAGCCCAUGCCCUCAACUGCUUGGAAAUGGUCGCUACUGGGCAGUCACUGCUGCUAAGGGUGUGCUAAGAGAUUACGGCAAUGACAAGAACAGGGAACAGAUGGUCUUUGCUCUCGCAUAUGAGCUCAGGAGUGAAUCCCUGAAUUGGGACCAUUUCUUGUUCUUCCCAAAUGGCAACAUGUGAGCUGAAAUUCAAAGCAGAGAAGUCCCAGGUCUGAGAAGUAGCCUCGUCAGAAUCCAUAACUUUUCUUUGCCCAGUUAAUUUUCCUCCCCUCUUUGUGGUGUAUUGAAGGCCAGAGAGGUGCAGGUAGCUCUGGGAGGGAGAGAGAGGAGGAUGAGGGGACAGGGGAUGGGGGAGGGAAGGGAGAGGGAGGAGGAUGAGGGGAUGGGAUGGGGGAGGGGAAGGGGGAGGGCUGACCAUCAGUGGGGAAGUGAAAGAGAUUUCGAAAGAAGCAAAGAAUAAUGAAUGCUUUAAAAGCUGGCGCUUUCCUUUAACAGGAAAAUCCCAGUUUCAGUUCUUUCUGCAUGCUGCCCACACCGCAGGAACAGACCUUUGAACGCACUGUCCCUGGAUUCCACACUGAUUAACAAGCGCAGAUCAUUCUGAACUCUUCAGGAAAAUCACCCCUCUAACUUAAGCAUGUAGUAUAGUCAAGGCAGUGUGCUAGAUACUCUGUAACUUCUUAGCAAUAAAUAAAUAAAUGCCAUCUCCCUGUGUAGCACC